AUGGCUCUCAGCGCGACUCCACCUCUUUGCCAUGAUGACUAUGCCAUUGCUGAGUCCAACAGGCCUAUUCCGAUCCAUCUCCGUUGAGUCGCCAGGCAGGAAAUUGUAAGGCUUUUGAACCAUGAUAGGUUUUUUGUUAGAGAUGUGCAAGAUUCUGCUUUGGGGCUUGGAUUGUAUCGCUUCUGCAAUGGUUUUAUUAGGGAUGAUGUAGUCGGGAAAACUUACUUGCUGGGUGAGGACAAUGAGAUUACUUUUGUUAAACAUGAUGAAGGUCUGAACAUGCGCAUGCCAUCAUUGGGUAGGCAGAUGUGGGUUCUGAUGCUUGCUUUCCCUCAAGACUAUCAAACAAAUUUCUGGAUUGAUAAGGCUGUCUCUCAAUUUGUCAAAUUAAUUUAG
rnacentral:rRNA from 1 species